ACGAACGCUGGCGGCGUGCUUCACCCAUGCCAGUCGCACGGAAAGGCCCUGCUUUUGUGGGGUGCUCGAGUGGUGAACGGGUGAGUAACACGUGAGUAACCUGCCCUUGACUUUGGGAUAACUUCAGGAAACUGGGGCUAAUACCGGAUAGGAGCUCCUGCUGCAUGGUGGGGGUUGGAAAGUUUCGGCGGUUGGGGAUGGACUCGCGGCUUAUCAGCUUGUUGGUGGGGUAGUGGCUUACCAAGGCUUUGACGGGUAGCCGGCCUGAGAGGGUGACCGGCCACAUUGGGACUGAGAUACGGCCCAGACUCCUACGGGAGGCAGCAGUGGGGAAUAUUGCACAAUGGGCGGAAGCCUGAUGCAGCAACGCCGCGUGCGGGAUGACGGCCUUCGGGUUGUAAACCGCUUUCGCCUGUGACGAAGCGUGAGUGACGGUAAUGGGUAAAGAAGCACCGGCUAACUACGUG
rnacentral:rRNA from 1 species